GGACAGAUGGCCGAGUGGUUAUGGCGUGUGACUCAAGCUCAAUAGCUUGGUUGAUGGAAAAUCAACUAGCAUUCUCAUGGGCUUAGCCCGCGGGGGUUCGAAUCCCCCUCUGUUCA